rnacentral:rRNA from 1 species
UACGGAGGAUGCGAGCGUUAUCCGGAUUUAUUGGGUUUAAAGGGUGCGUAGGCGGGCUUUUAAGUCAGCGGUAAAAAUUCGGGGCUCAACCCCGUCCGGCCGUUGAAACUGGGGGCCUUGAGUGGGCGAGAGGAAGGCGGAAUGCGUGGUGUAGCGGUGAAAUGCAUAGAUAUCACGCAGAGCCCCGAUUGCGAAGGCAGCCUUCCGGCGCCCUACUGACGCUGAGGCACGAAAGUGCGGGGAUCGAACAGG